GACGAACGCUGGCGGCGUGCUUAACACAUGCAAGUCGAACGAAGUGGCGAACGGGUGAGUUAUACGUGGGUAACCUGCCCUCCUUUUUGGGAUAAGCUUUGGAAACGGGGUCUAAUCCCGUAUCUAGGGGGUUGGGCUCGCGGCCUAUCAGCUUGUUGGUGGGGUGAUGGCCUACCAAGGCGGUGACGGGUAGCCGGCCUGAGAGGGUGACCGGCGACAUGGGGAAGGAGAAACGGCCCAGAGUCGUACGGGGGGGAGAAGUGGGGGAUAUGGCACAAUGGGCGAAAGCCUGAUGCAGCGACGCCGAGUGGGGGAUGAAGGCUUUCGAGUUGUAAACCUCUUGCGAUAUAGAACGGGUAGGUGGAGAAGAAGCGACGGCUAACUACGUGCCAGCAGCCGCGGUAAUAC
rnacentral:rRNA from 1 species